rnacentral:piRNA from 1 species
UAAUAAGCAAGGGUCUCGUGCGUGCCAUU